ensembl:lncRNA
UUCAUUGUUUUCCUUGUAGUCUUUGCUUCUUAUUUCUCUGUAUGGUGUGGAAGCGACGGUAUAGUUUGAGGUAUGGUGUGGAGGAGACGGUAUAGUUUGAGGUAUGGUGUGGGGGUGACGUAUAGUUUGAGGUAUGGUGUGGAGGAGACGGUAUAGUUUGAGGUAUGGUGUGGGGGUGACGUAUAGUUUGAGGUAUGGUGUGGAAGCGACGGUAUAGUUUGAGGUAUGGUGUGGGGGUGACGGUAUAGUUUGAGGUGGCCUACUCAGCAGAUAAAGGGACACACAAAAAAGAUUAAAAUGACAAGAAAGAAAGAGGUCUGAUAUUGUCCCUUUAGCCU